rnacentral:rRNA from 1 species
GAUCAUGGCUCAGGACGAACGCUGGCGGCGCGCCUAACACACGCAAGUCGAACGAGAGAGAAGGAGCUUGCUUCUUCGAUCGAGUGGCGAACGGGUGAGUAACGCGUGAGGAACCUGCCUCAAAGAGGGGGACAACAGUUGGAAACGACUGCUAAUACCGCAUGACGCAUAGAGGUCGCAUGAUCUUUAUGCCAAAGAUUUAUCGCCUCAAGAUGGCCUCGCGU